AACGAACGCUGGCAGCGUGGAUUAGGCAUGCAAGUCGAACGGAAAUUUCCGGUGUAGCAAUACAUUGGGAAGGAUAGUGGCGAAAGGGCGAGUAAUACGUAGGUAACCUGCCUCGAAGCUGGGGAUAACUUGCCGAAAGGCGAGCUAAUACCGAAUGUGGUUGUUCUUCGCAUGAAGGACGGACUAAACGACGGGGAUUCUUCGGAACCUGUCGCUUUGAGAGGGGCCUGCGUGCCAUCAGCUAGUUGGUGAGGUAACGGCUCACCAAGGCUUACGGCUAGGUGGUCUGAGAGGAUGGUCACCCGCACUGGGACUGAGACACUGCCCUGACUCCUACGGGAGGCUGCAGUCGAGAAUCUUUUGCAAUGGGCGCAAGCCUGACAAAGCGACGCUGCGUGGAGGAUGAAGGCCUUCGGGUUGUAAACUCUUGUCAUUCGGGAAUAACGAGCGGUGCAUUAAUAAUGCAUCGCAGUGACGGUACCGGAAGAGGAAGCCACGGCAAACUCUGUGCCAGCAGCCGCGGUAAUACAGAGGUGGCGAGCGUUGUUCGGAUUACUGGGCGUAAAGGGCGCGUAGGCGGUUUUGUGUGUCGGAUGUGAAAUCCCACUGCUCAACGGUGGAAUGGCAUUCGAAAUUGCAGAACUAGAGUGUAGGAUGGGAGAGUGGAAUUCUAGGUGUAGCGGUGAAAUGCGUUGAUAUCUAGAAGAACACCGGUGGCGAAGGCGGCUCUCUGGAAUACUACUGACGCUGAGGCGCGAAAGCUGGGGGAGCAAACAGGUUUAGAUACCCUGGUAGUCCCAGCCCUAAACGGUGUGAACUUGGUGUGGCGGUGUUGACCCCGCCGUGCCGGAGCUAACGCGUUAAGUUCACCGCCUGGGGAGUACGAUCGCAAAAUUAAAACUCAAAGAAAUUGACGGGGGCCCGCACAAGCGGAGGAGCAUGUGGCUUAAUUCGAUGCAACGCGAAGAACCUUACCAAGGUUUGACAUGCAGCUGCACGACCUAUGAAAGUAGGUUUCCUUCGAGGGUGCUGCACAGGUGCUGCAUGGCUGUCGUCAGUUCGUGCCGUGAGGUGUUGGGUUAAGUCCCGCAACGAACGCAACCCCUGUGACUAGUUGCCAUCAGGUAAUGCUGGGCACUUUAGUCAGACUGCCCAUUAGUGGAGGAAGGUGGGGACGACGUCAAGUCAGUAUGGCCUUUAUACCUUGGGCUGCACACGUGCUACAAUGGUUGGUACAGAAGGAAGCAAGACCGUAAGGUGGAGCAAAUCCCUAAAGCCAACCCCAGUUCGGAUUGGAGUCUGCAACUCGACUCCAUGAAGCCGGAUUCGCUAGUAAUGGCGCAUCAGCUACGGCGCCGUGAAUACGUUCCCGGGCCUUGUACACACCGCCCGUCACAUCAUGAAAGCCGUCUGCACCCGAAGCCGGUGAGCGAACCUGAAAAGGACGCAGCUGUCUAAGGUGUGGGUGGUAAUUGGGAUG
rnacentral:rRNA from 1 species